rnacentral:lncRNA from 1 species
UAGAACAAGCUUUGUGUUAAAUUGAGUACACAUAAUUCGAUUAUUUUAAAAACAAAGCCCAAGCAGUGUUUUUCUGUUUUUUUGCAUGCAGUGUUUUCCGGUGUAAAGAGAAUUCACUGCCGGAGAAGCCCCAGCUUAGCUUCCUUCUGCCCCUGGGCAGCCCCGUUGGUUUCAGCAGAUGGUCCUGAUGUCUGAGGACCUGCCACAGUUUGCGCCAGUCCUUCCUUUUGCUACUUUUGUUGCCCAAGACGAGGUGUGAUUUAGUGGUUAAAUGCCAGAAUGCUGGGCUGGCUGGAUUUGAACCUUACCUCCUUUGAGAUUCAAUUAGGAUGUGACCUCCGACAGCUUAAUUUCCCUGAGCCUCUGUGUUUUCAUCUGUAAAAUGGGUACGAUAAUAGGGUUGUUGAGAUUUGGCAGGUGAUAAAUGCUGACCAAGUGUUUGCUGUUGCAGUAGUUGUUAUGGCAGUUGUCGUCACUGUCCCCAAUGUCAUCACUAUCAUUCUCGUCAUCUCAGGACACUGAGGAAAGGCUGAGCUAGUAAUGAAUAGGGUUGGACUGGUGCUGCCUCUUUAGUGCCUAAGAAACGCUACCCUGGCCCUGUCUCCAGGCCUUGAUCUCAAGGUGGGAUUCAUCCAUCAUCCACCACGGCCCAGGAGCCAGCUGUCCUCACUUCUGGGGUGACUUGUGAGUAGAUAACAAAGGGGGUGCCCUCACCCUGCAGCGGAGUCCCCAUGGGCCUUGGGGCCCAGAGGGAGAUGGUAUCUGUUUCCCAUGGGCUUCCUGUCACAGGCAGAUGACAUCUGCUCUCUGCUCAGGGUAGAUUUGGGGGCCUCUGCCACUGGCUGACUGGAACUCUCUUACCUCAUUCUAGACUCUUCCAGGCAGCUUUCUGUUUGUUCUCUAACAGAAACAUAGAAACAAACCAGCAUCUUUUCUAAACAAAGAGGGACUUUUCACAGGAAGUUUGAUGACCUGACGCGUUCCCCCUGCUUGUUGAAGCACGAGCCUCUUCUCUGACAGUUAGGGUGACUUGCUGGAGAACAAACAAUAGACAAUAGUUGUGGCCUACUUCCCGUGAGAAGCAAGAAUGGUACAGGUGGAUGUUGGGAGCCCCCAAACCCAUGGAAGGGGUUUCCUGAGGACGUCCUAUAGUCCCUGAACAUGCAGCCGAGGGUUCCUGGGGUAGCAGCACCCGUGUGGUUAGCCCUGUAAUGGGCUCACAUUAUGAGGCUUCCGUGGGUAGGCCCUGUUCAGAGAGCUUUGCGUGCUCUCAUCCUGGGGAGUCAGGGUUAGGUUUAGGGUCAAGACUGAUAUAAUGGCCAGGCACAGUGGUUCACGCCUGUAAUCUUAGCACUUUGGGAGGCCAAAGCGGGUGGAUCACCUGAGGUCAGGAGUUUGAGACCAGCCUGGCCAACAUGGUAAAACCCUGUCUCUACUAAAAAUACAAAAAAAUUAGCCGGGCAUGGUGGUGUGCUCCUGUAAUCCCAGCUACUUGGGAGGCUGAGGCAGGAGAAUUGCUUGAACCCAGAAGGCGGAGGUUGCAGUGAGCUGAGAUCGCACCACUGCACUCCAGCCUGAGUGAGACUC